CCUACGGGUGGCAGCAGUGAGGAAUAUUGGUCAAUGGACGAGAGUCUGAACCAGCCAAGUAGCGUGAAGGAUGACUGCCCUAUGGGUUGUAAACUUCUUUUAUAUGGGAAUAAAAUGUUCCACGUGUGGGAUUUUGUAUGUACCAUAUGAAUAAGGAUCGGCUAACUCCGUGCCAGCAGCCGCGGUAAUACGGAGGAUCCGAGCGUUAUCCGGAUUUAUUGGGUUUAAAGGGAGCGUAGGUGGAUUGUUAAGUCAGUUGUGAAAGUUUGCGGCUCAACCGUAAAAUUGCAGUUGAAACUGGCAGUCGUGAGUACAGUAGAGGUGGGCGGAAUUCGUGGGGUAGCGGUGAAAUGCGUAGAUAUCACGAAGAACUCCGAUUGCGAAGGCAGCUCACUGGACUGCAACUGACACUGAGGCUCGAAAGUGUGGGUAUCAAACAGGAUUAGAUACCCCUGUAGUC
rnacentral:rRNA from 1 species